rnacentral:rRNA from 1 species
UACGUAGGUGGUAAGCGUUGUUCGGAAUAACUGGGCGUAAAGGAUGCGUAGGCGGUUAAACAAGUUAUAUGUUAAAUAUAUAGGCUUAACCUGUAGAAAGCAUAUAAAACUGUUUAACUAGAGUGCAGGAGAGGUAAGUGGAAUUCCUAGUGUAGCGGUGAAAUGCGUAGAGAUUAGGAAGAACACCAGUGGCGAAGGCGACUUACUGGACUGUAACUGACGCUGAGGCAUGAGAGCAUGGGGAGCAAACAGG